GAAGCUGCCGCUUGGCAGGAGCUUCUUGAUUGCAUCGCCCUCCAUGUGCCAGAUGUCGAUACCGGCCUGGACGAGGUUCGGUGGCGCCUUGAACCAUCGGGGCAAUUCUCCACCAAGUCCCUCUACUUUGCCAUCGCCCCCUCCACUGCACCGCCUCCCCUCCUAGCUGUAUGGGCCAUUCGCGUUCCUCUGAAGAUCCGGAUCUUCUUGUGGCAGUGGAUCCGCGGUUGGCUCCCGUCCGGGGUUGAGGUCCGCAAGCGCAAUGGUCCGGGCUCUGGCCUGUGCCCGCUCUGCAGUACCCCCGAGGACUCGAACCACAUCUUCUUCAACUGCGUUUCUGCCCAGUUUAUGUGGAGUUGCUUUAGAGAGGCGGUCGGUGGUAACUGGAGCCACACCAACUUCCCUGACCUCUUCGACGAACUCCGGACCUCCCCUUGCCCACUCGCCACAUUAGGUGGCUGGAGAUUGGGGCCCUCGCGUGGACCAUCUGGACGAUUCUCAACAAGCUUGUGA
rnacentral:rRNA from 1 species